GGAGUUGUAGCUCAGGUGUAGAGCACUUGCCUCGCAUGCAUGAGACCUGGGUUCGAUUCUCAGCACCA
rnacentral:tRNA from 1 species